rnacentral:rRNA from 1 species
AUUGAACGCUGGCGGCAGGCCUAACACAUGCAAGUCGAACGGUAACAGGAAGAAGCUUGCUUCUUUGCUGACGAGUGGCGGACGGGUGAGUAAUGUCUGGGAAACUGCCUGAUGGAGGGGGAUAACUACUGGAAACGGUAGCUAAUACCGCAUAACGUCGCAAGACCAAAGAGGGGGACCUUCGGGCCACUUGCCAUCGGAUGUGCCCAGAUGGGAUUAGCUAGUAGGUGGGGUAACGGCUCACCUAGGCGACGAUCCCUAGCUGGUCUGAGAGGAUGACCAGCCACACUGGAACUGAGACACGGUCCAGACUCCUACGGGAGGCAGCAGUGGGGAAUAUUGCACAAUGGGCGCAAGCCUGAUGCAGCCAUGCCGCGUGUAUGAAGAAGGCCUUCGGGUUGUAAAGUACUUUCAGCGGGGAGGAAGGGAGUAAAGUUAAUACCUUUGCUCAUUGACGUUACCCGCAGAAGAAGCACCGGCUAACUCCGUG